UUCAAUCAUCAUCGCUCCAGAGGUUGCUCAGUGACUGAGCGUGCCUUUGGAGUGAUGAAAACCUGCUUCAGGUGCUUCCUUUUGGAAGCACCUGAAGUACAUCCACAGUUUGUCCCCAAGAUGAUGAAUCCUCCCAGUGUUUCUCAUGAAUUAGGUGAUGACUGCAUGUGUUAUAUUACAUGACGUAUGUGUCGGGGUAGGGGUUGAGCCAGAGGAGGCCAUAGAGGACGACCAGCCACCUGCUGAGUGUGAUGGAGGGGAGUCGCAGUGGGCAGCCUUGGUGAAUGAGGUGUCAUGGCUUCAGGUGGCACCUCUCGACCAUGAUUACUUUGCCCAGGCUCAACCCUGAAACAUCAGACUGUCUUAGUUUCGAGACACACCCCACCUCAGUUAUCCACGCAUGUUUGUCUGGUGAAACAUUAUUUUGAUUACCUUAAGGUUUUGUUGUUGUGUUUCGGUUUAUAUGUUUGGGUGGUGUACAAUAAAGGAACGCAGGUAUUAGCAGCUACUGCAAAAUUGUUUUAUGAUUUUAAGACAUGAAGUCAUGCUGCUGAAGUCAGCCAUUUCUUUUGGAUCACUGGGAUGAACUGUCAGAUAGAUGAAGUAGCAGCAAGAUAAGUUUAGGUUUGCUGCAUUGCAUUACUUGUGAUAAAAAGACAGAAACAGACGUAUACAUUUACAGGAUGUUCCUAAAGAAGUCAUUUGUGUUGUGUGAACAUGUUUUUAUUUUGCCAGUAUACAUGGGCCAAAUGAGCCUCAGAUGGAGAAACAUUUCUGGAAAAGACUCAGU